AACGAACGCUGGCGGCAGGCCUAACACAUGCAAGUCGAGCGCCCUUUCGGGGGAGCGGCGGACGGGUGAGUAACGCGUGGGAAUAUGCCCUUCUCUACGGAAUAGCCUCGGGAAACUGAGAGUAAUACCGUAUACGCCCUGUGGGGGAAAGAUUUAUCGGGGAAGGAUUAGCCCGCGUUGGAUUAGGUAGUUGGUGGGGUAAUGGCCUACCAAGCCGACGAUCCAUAGCUGGUUUGAGAGGAUGAUCAGCCACACUGGGACUGAGACACGGCCCAGACUCCUACGGGAGGCAGCAGUGGCGAAUCUUAGACAAUGGGGGCAACCCUGAUCUAGCCAUGCCGCGUGAGUGAUGAAGGCCUUAGGGUUGUAAAGCUCUUUCAGCUGGGAAGAUAAUGACGGUACCAGCAGAAGAAGCCCCGGCUAACUCCGUG
rnacentral:rRNA from 1 species